GGAAUCUUCCACAAUGGGCGAAAGCCUGAUGGAGCAACGCCGCGUGUGUGAUGAAGGGUUUCGGGCUCGUAAAACACUGUUGUAAGAGAAGAAUGACAUUGAGAGUAACUGCUCAAUGUGUGACGGUAUCUUACCAGAAAGGAACGGCUAAAUACGUGCCAG
rnacentral:rRNA from 1 species